rnacentral:lncRNA from 1 species
GGAAAGCAAUUCGAUGGAUGGUGAUCCAAGGGAGUACAAAUAUGAAGAAUUUUCAAGAGAAUUUAUUUGCUAUACUCAAAAUAAUCAGUGGAAGCAAAGAUCCCAAAAAAGGAGAAAAACAACUAUAAUUCAUUCAGAUUUGAUGAUCAUUAUAAUUGUAUUUUAGUGCUUUAUGAUGCAUCUUCAAUUUUCCGAAAAAAAUAAUGUUUAGUUGUAUUUUACCCAUUAGCGUCUAAAAUUUUUAGUUUGAUACAAUG